rnacentral:rRNA from 1 species
CCUACGGGAGGCAGCAGUGAGGAAUAUUGGUCAAUGGUCGGGAGACUGAACCAGCCAAGCCGCGUGAGGGACGAAGGUACAGCGUAUCGUAAACCUCUUUUGUCAGGGAACAAAGGCGGGGACUAGUCCCCGGAUGAGGGUACCUGAAGAAAAAGCAUCGGCUAAGUCCGUGCCAGCAGCCGCGGUAAUACGGAGGAUGCGAGCGUUAUCCGGAUUUCUUGGGUUUACAGGGUGCGCAGGCGGCCUGGUAAGUCAGCGGUAAAAGCCCGGGGCUCAACCCCGGCGAGCCGUUGAAACUGGCAGUCGGGAGUUGGAGAGAAGUACGCGGAAUGCGCGGUGUAGCGGUGAAAUGCGUAGAUAUCGCGCAGAACCCCGAUUGCGAAGGCAGCGUACCGGCUCCACACUGACGCUGAGGCACGAAAGCGUGGGUAUCGAACAGGAUUAGAUACCCCAGUAGUC